rnacentral:rRNA from 1 species
UGAACGCUGGCGGCGUGCUUAACACAUGCAAGUCGAACGAUGAAGCCUAGCUUGCUAGGUGGAUUAGUGGCGCACGGGUGAGUAAUAUAUAGAUAAUGUGCCCCUUAGUCUGGGAUAGCCAUUGGAAACGAUGAUUAAUACUAGAUACUCCUUCUCAUUUUAAUUUGAGUUGGGAAAGUUUUUCGCUAAGGGAUCAGUCUAUAUCGCAUCAGUUAGUUGGUGGGGUAAUGGCCUACCAAGACAAUGACGCGUAGCGGGUUUGAGAGGAUGAUCCGCCACACUGGUACUGAGACACGGACCAGACUCCUACGGGAGGCAGCAGUGAGGAAUAUUGCACAAUGGGGGAAACCCUGAUGCAGCAACGCCGCGUGGAGGAUGACGCAUUUCGGUGUGUAAACUCCUUUUAUAUGUCAAGAAAAUGACGGUAGCAUAUGAAUAAGCACCGGCUAACUCC